rnacentral:misc_RNA from 1 species
GAUGAAUCCAGCAUGGACGAUGUCACUGCUUCUGCAAAUGGUAAUUUAGUACAUCAUCCUUGUACUGCAGAAAAAUAAGUAGCACUCACUGUUACGAGCCCGAUGGCGAAGAGAAGCAAAGGAAAUUGAGUCCACUGAGAUCCAUUUCUUCAAGCAUCGUUUGUUUCCCUUUUGUAUCCUGGAGAAGUCUCAGAGUGUUUUUGACCUGAGAUGGGAAAGUUGAAAUGAAACUUUCCCGACAUGAUUGCCCUCAAGGUGAGC